rnacentral:misc_RNA from 1 species
AAAGUCGUAACAAGGUUUCCGUAGGUGAACCUGCGGAAGGAUCAUUACUGAAUGACCUGCGUGCGCCUUCUUGUAGUAGACCAUUCAACGGCCUGCCAUCAGAAUUUGGUGAUAAUCAACCCGGCCCGUUCGUUGCCCGACAACAGGUAGUGAUGUUGAGCUACUCAUCAUCACCUCAGCACCUUGCUGAGUUUGCGCCUGUUUGGCGGGUUGGGCUUUGGUUCGAUGUCGGAUGCUGUUGUGCAGGCCUCUUUGGUGGUCUCCUACGUUCCCUUUUUUUUUUGCCACACAAAACCUGUCGUCGUAUGGUGUUGCACUUAAAACAUAUAAUAUAACUUUCAACAACGGAUCUCUUGGCUCUC